AGGCGAGUAUCGGAACGGGCCUCGGCCGGUGGCUCAGUAACUGGCGGGCGUCCAAACUGAGCGGUUGGCUUCGUCUCCGUGCUUCAUUAAGUGGCAAGUUCAGAGGAGCCGCACGUCGAGCGCUCUAGUUGUUUGCUGCUUGGACACGUUAGCAACGUUGUCACAGUUAUGGAUUCACCAACACCGCCAAUUGUCAUCGACGAUUCGAACGGUUCAGCAAUGGACGCCUGCUUCACGGCAUUCGACAAGGAUGGGUGCGUAUCAAACAGAC